rnacentral:misc_RNA from 1 species
GUGAAUCAUCGAAUUUUUGAACGCAAAUUGCACUCUCUUCGGAGAGUAUGCCUGUUUGAGGGCCAGUAUUAAUAAAAAUCGGUGUGUUGCUUCUUUGUGGCGCCCCGGAGUUUGGGUCUGUUUAAUAUCCUUUAGGUUUUAAGAGGCUUAAAAUUGACUUUUUUGGCGCAUUUGAGUUUUACAUAAAUUCUUUUUUUAUUCUUUUGUUUAAAUGCUCA